UACAGAGGGGGCCAGCGUUAUUCGGAAUUAUUGGGCGUAAAGGGCGCGUAGGCGGCUUUGCGUGUCUUUCGUGAAAUCCCUCGGCUCAACUGAGGACGUGCGGAAGAAACUGCAGGGCUGGAGUCCGGGAGAGGAGGGUGGAAUUCCCAGUGUAGCGGUGAAAUGCGUAGAUAUUGGGAGGAACACCGAUGGCGAAGGCAGCCCCCUGGGCUAACACUGACGCUCAUGCACGAAAGCGUGGGGAGCAAACAGG
rnacentral:rRNA from 1 species